rnacentral:lncRNA from 1 species
CCAACAGCAGCAGCAGCAGCAGCAGCAGCAGCAGCCGUCAGUGUGAGAUCAGCUCUUCUAAACACAGCAGUGUGUACAACUUCUCCCCCAACAUCCCCAACAACCACCAUGCUGCAACUUACUACUGCGCUGUGGAGACCUGUGGGAGGAUCAUCAUCGGGAAUGGAACUCCAGUGAACUUGAUGGGGCCUGCGGAACUCAUUGUGCUUUAUCUCGGAGCAGCUCUGGGACUGUGUGUGGUUGUGAUCAUUGUCCUAUCUGUUUUAAUCCACAAUGUGAGACCUCAACAAGAUUUACUGUACAAGAAUGUGGACAGUCAGGAUACUGUGGAGCUGAUAAUGAAGAAAAGGUACUCAGGAGACAGUGUGUACUCUGAAGUGAGCUACUUCACAGUCGAUGAUGCCAGUCAAACUCGCUAACCAUCGUCUCUUGCGUUCGCCUCACGAGUUUAUGAAAUUAUUUUUUUUUCCUUUUUAUUUGCAGAUGAGCUCUAGUUUAACAUUUAAAUUAAUUAGCGAUGAACCAAAA